CCGCGAUGCCUGGAGGCGAGAAAAGCUCUUAUGUAUACUAAGGUGCCCGUACCGCAAACCGACACAGGUAGAUGAGGAGAGAAUCCUAAGGCCAACGGGAGAAGGGUUGUUAAGGAACUCGGCAAGUUGACCCCGUAACUUCGGAAUAAGGGGAGCCUCGAAAGAGGCCGCAGUGAAUAGGCCCAAGCAACCGUUUACCAAAAACACAGGUCUCUGCUAAAUCGAAAGAUGACGUAUAGGGGCUGACGCCUGCCCGGUGCCGGAAGGUUAAGAGGAGAUGUCAGCCGCAAGGUGAAGCAUUGAAUUGAAGCCCCGGUAAACGGCGGCCGUAACAAUAACGGUCCUAAGGUAGCGAAAUUCCUUGUCAGGUAAGUUCUGACCCGCACGAAAGGCGUAAUGAUUUGGGCACUGUCUCAACAGCCCACCCGGCGAAAUUGUAGUACUGGUGAAGAUGCCAGUUACCCGCAACUAGACGGAAAGACCCCAUGGAGCUUUACUGCAGCUUAAUACUGAAAAUCGGUAAUUCAUGUACAGGAUAGGUGGGAGCCUGGGAAGCGAGGGCGUCAGCUUUCGUGGAGGCGCUGGUGGGAUACCACUCUUGGAUUGCUGGUUUUCUAACCUGCGGCCGUGAAUCCGGUCGGGGGACACUGUUAGGCGGGCAGUUUGACUGGGGCGGUCGCCUCCUAAAAGGUAACGGAGGCGCUCAAAGGUUGGCUCAGCACGGACGGAAAUCGUGCAAUGAGUGUAAACGUAUAAGCCAGCCUAACUGCGAGACCGACGGGUCGAGCAGUAACGAAAGUUGGAGUUAGUGAUCCGGUGGUAUGUGAGUGGAAAUGCCAUCGCUCAACGGAUAAAAGCUACCCUGGGAUAACAGGCUGAUCUCCCCCAAGCGUCCACAGCGACGGGGAGGUUUGGCACCUCGAUGUCGGCUCGUCACAUCCUGGGGCUGAAUUCGGUCCCAAGGGUUCGGCUGUUCGCCGAUUAAAGUGGCACGCGAGCUGGGUUCAGAACGUCGUGAGACAGUUCGGUCCCUAUCUGUUGCGGGCGUAAGAGAUUUGAAGGGAGCUGUCCUUAGUACGAGAGGACCGGGAUGGACGUACCUCUGGUGCACCAGUUGUCCUGCCAAGGGCAUAGCUGGGUAGCUGUGUACGGACGAGAUAAACGCUGAAAGCAUCUAAGCGUGAAACUCCCCCUAAGAUGAGAUCUCUCAUCCAUUAUGGAGUAAGGGCCCAGGAAGACUACCUGGUUGAUAGGCCGGAGGUGGAAGUGCGGUAACGUAUGGAGCUGACCGGUACUAAUAGCCCGAGGGCUUGACC
rnacentral:rRNA from 1 species